rnacentral:rRNA from 1 species
UACGGGGGGGCAAGCGUUGUUCGGAAUUACUGGGCGUAAAGGGCUCGUAGGCGGCCAACUAAGUCAUACGUGAAAUCCCCCGGCUUAACCGGGGAACUGCGUCUGAUACUGGAUGGCUUGAGUUCGGGAGAGGGAUGCGGAAUUCCAGGUGUAGCGGUGAAAUGCGUAGAUAUCGGGAGGAACACCAGUGGCGAAGGCGGCGACCUGGGCCAAUAUUGACGCUGAGGUGCGAAAGCGUGGGGAGCAAACAGG